ACAGUGGGAAAUGAUCUGAUCAGAGUGGGAGAGGAGAGAAAAGAGAAGAAAAGUGGUAUUGGAAUCCAGUGAGUGAAAAUGGGACAAGGAUUUUGGCCGAGUUUUUUAAGUUUUAUUCUCAUAAAAAAGAGUUUGCACUCUAGACGAAGAUGAUAGGUGUAUAAUUGCACAGAAGAGUUUAAGGUUUCGAAUUUGGUUCACUAUAUAAAAUGAUCAUGAGGUGUAUGAAGGGUGCGUUGAACAAUGCAUUUGUGCCUAAAUAAGACAAGUAGCUGUAUAAGGAAGGUCAUAGAAUGUGCCUUGAACAAGGCAUGGGAUGAAAGAAAAGUGCCUGAGGUAUUCAUCGCAAUGAUCCAAUAAUAGGAACUGAAUAGGUGUUUGUUCAAGCACCCAAAUGCAGGGGAAAGUGCGAGUUUCUGAUUUGCACAAUACGUGGGGGUAAGUUGUCUUUUUGUCCUUGAAUUUAUAUAUCCCUCUAAAUUAGGAGCCUAUAUGUAGCCUAAAUCACACUAGCUAGGAUUGGUGUGGAGGCUAUUGCAUAGAGAGAAGCUAGGUAAGGUUUAUAAGCCAAGAGAAUUCAUUCUUCUAAAUUUCUAAUAGAGUGAGUUUUCCAUUAAAGGUGUGGAGGCUAUUGUCACUAUUUUAUUGUUCAAUCAUUAAUGAUAUACAAUUUAUAUUGAGAAGAUGUCUAAAACAUCUUUAAGCAUCUUAUUGUGUUCUUGCAUAGUGUUUUGUGCGUCCAUUGAUUUAUGCUCUAUUUUUCUCUUGAUUUUUCUUGUUAUUCUUCAUCAAAGAGAGGUUCUUAGCCUUUCAAAUCAAAAACAUAUCAAAUCUGAAAAAUUAAAUGAAACUGUAUUUUGUGAGUUAAUACAUCAUAUUAAUCACUAUUUUGCUACCCUUAAUACAUUUCCUAAUGCCGGGAUUAUAUUUCCAAAUUUAAUGCAUACUACAAGAAAAGUUCAAUACAAACAAUUUUAAUAAUCAUCAUACAUUCUACUAAAACAAUAAAAGAAUAUGACACAUGCUACUUUUAUACAUCAUAU